rnacentral:rRNA from 2 species
UUUUUGUAUUUAAUAUAAAGUCUAAUCUGCCCCCUGAUAAUUUAUUAAAGGGCUGCAGUAUUUUGACUGUACAAAGGUAGCAUAAUCAUUUGUCUCUUAAUUGGUGACUAGUAUGAAAGAUUGGAUGAAAUAUAGACUGUCUCAUUAUAAUGAAUAAAAUUUAAUUUUUUAGUAAAAAAGCUAAAAUAGUUUUAAAAGACGAGAAGACCCUAUAGAGUUUAAUAAUUAUUUUUAUAUAGAAUAAAAUAUAAAAAUUUAAAUUUAAAUGAAAGUAAUUAUUUUGUUGGGGUGAUAGAAAAAUUAAAUUAACUUUUUUUAAAGAUAUACAUUAAUAAAUGAAUAAAUGAUCCAUUAAUAAUGAUUAUAAGAAAAAAUUACCUUAGGGAUAACAGCGUAAUUUUUUUUUUUAGGCCAAAUAAGAAAAAGAGUUUGCGACCUCGAUGUUGGAUUAAGAUAAAAUUUAAAUGUAAAAGUUUAAAAUUUUGAUCUGUUCGAUCAUUAAAA